AGCGAACGCUGGCGGCAGGCCUAACACAUGCAAGUCGAGCGGCCGUAGCAAUACGGCAGCGGCAGACGGGAGAGUAACACGUGGGAACGCGCCCUUCGGUUCGGGAUAACUCAGGGAAACUUGGGCUAAUACCGGAUACGCCCUGACGGGGAAAGAUUUAUUGCCGAAGGAACGGCCCGCGCCCGAUUAGCUUGUUGGUGAGGUAACGGCUCACCAAGGCGACGAUCGGUAGCUGGUCUGAGAGGAUGACCAGCCUCACUGGGACUGAGACCCGGCCCAGACUCCUACGGGAGGCAGCAGUGGGGAAUAUUGGACAAUGGGCGCAAGCCUGAUCCAGCCAUGCCGCGUGGGUGAUGAAGGCCCUAGGGUUGUAAAGCCCUUUCAGAGGGGAAGAUAAUGACGGUACCCGCAGAAGAAGCCCCGGCUAACUUCGUGCCAGCAGCCGCCGUAAAAC
rnacentral:rRNA from 1 species